AAAAGAAAGGCCAAAGAAAACAGAAAGAAAAGAAAACAAAAAAGAGAAAAAAAGAAAGCGCUUUUUCCUUGCCGCUUUCUUCUCUUUUUU
rnacentral:ribozyme from 14 species